UUUUUUUGGUUUAUUUUGCCUUAAAUCGGGGUAGAGGACGUUAAGGUGGUCAAAAGGCUCCUUUUUCAUUUUUUACCGGUCACGGUGGUCCGACGGCCGGAGCAAAUGGGGCAGGGGGAGAGUUGAGAGAGGUUGAGAGAGUUUGGCAGAUUUUUUUUUAAAUAGGGCUGAAAUGUUUUUUGGGUUAAAAAAAUUUCUAUUUAUAGUGUAGGCC
rnacentral:lncRNA from 1 species